CCUACGGGAGGCAGCAGUGAGGAAUAUUCGUCAAUGGACGCAAGUCUGAACCAGCCAUGCCGCGUGCAGGAAGACGGCUCUAUGAGUUGUAAACUGCUUUUGUACGAGGGUAAACGCAGAUACGCGUAUCUGUCUGAAAGUAUCGUACGAAUAAGGAUCGGCUAACUCCGUGCCAGCAGCCGCGGUAAUACGGAGGAUUCAAGCGUUAUCCGGAUUUAUUGGGUUUAAAGGGUGCGUAGGCGGUCGGAUAAGUUAGAGGUGAAAUCCCGAGGCUCAACUUCGGAAUUGCCUCUGAUACUGUUCGACUAGAGAGUAGUAGCGGUAGGCGGAAUGUAUGGUGUAGCGGUGAAAUGCUUAGAGAUCAUACAGAACACCGAUGGCGAAGGCAGCUUACCAAGCUACUUCUGACGUUGAGGCACGAAAGCGUGGGGAGCAAACAGGAUUAGAUACCCUGGUAGUC
rnacentral:rRNA from 1 species